rnacentral:lncRNA from 1 species
CUUCCUUCCAAAUACGAAUUGCGCAAAUCCCUAACUUUCCUUCGCAAAGCAGGUAUCAGAUUUAGGCAAAUACGAAAUCGUCCCAUACCCAAGCCCUAGAUUCGCGAUUCGCUGAGAACGAACAAAAGCCGAACUUCUCUCCAAAUCAGGUACGUGUAACUUAGUUUCAUAUAACUCGAAUUCGUGCUAAAAUCUCCCUGUUACAGCCCUUGACUGUCAAAUUCAAAUCCAUUCAAUUUUAGUAUAAUAGUUCGGAUGUGGCAGAGUUGGUGUGACACACGAUAAAAGAAAUUGUCCGUGCUUAAUAAUCAGUGAGCAAGUUUACGUAUUUUGACUUUGUCAGCAUGUUUAAAUUUGACUUUUGACUUUGUAAUUUGUUUAAAUGUAGAGCUCGAGUAUUUUUUUUUUAUUUUUUUUUUAAGUAUAUAUACGUAUAUAUGCUGGAGUAUAUGACGAUGAUAAUGAUUCACCCCCAGGUGCAACUGAGAUUAUGAGGUACUAAAGUAUUUUCCUAUGUUCAAGUCAUUCUAAACUAUUAGAGGUACUAAAGUAUUUUCCCAUGUAUUCAGUUUUCUAACUUUUUGUCGUACAGUAACAGGGACGCUGAACCUGGUCUUGAAUAGCCUGAUGGAGUUUAUUAGAGGUAAGAAACAAGCUUUUAAGGAUUUCACUGCAGGAACCUGGUCUUGUAUUCAGUUGGUUUCAGUUAAAUUUGUCACUUCUCAGUUCAUUUUUGGUAGCAGAAACUAGCUGGGCAGUGUAUGUAUAUUAUAAACCUGUAAACCAUUCCCUUUGAGUUUAUGUAAACAAAAAUGAACUGUUAUAAUAGCUGGGCAGUGUUUUCUGUAAACUGUAAUGGUACUCUUUGUUUUUCCUAAUUUAUGUUCUACUUUUAAGGAUUUCCUUGUCAAGUGCACAUACAGCUUAUGAUAUCCUUCUUGUAAACUGCCCACUAAACUAUGGAGUGGAUUCACUUUAUUGCAGUUUAUUCAUUUGUGCAAGUCAUUCACAUUAUUGCAGUUUCAGUUUCUAUAAAUUUACUUUAUAAUGAAGUUAGAAUGCAGUUUCAGUUUCAGUCAUUCACAUUAUUGCAGUUUCAUUCACAUUAUAAUGCAGUUUCAGCUUCUUUGUAAUCUGUCAUUCACAUUAUUUGUUCUUCUUCUGUUAUUCAGGUCAUGGAACAUAAAGGUAUGGUGAAUUAAGCAAAUUUCUCUCCAAUGAAGCUGCUGCGGUAAUGAAGCUGCUGCCACAGUCUUAUAGAAGCAGGCAUUACUAUAUGGGAAGCUGCUGUUUUGUGUUCCUUGGUUUUCCAUCUUAAUUUGCAUUUAUGUUUUCGUGAGAUUGUCCUGUUUAGUAUACUUCUAGAUCCUAGGAGCUAAAUAUAUAUAGAGAGAGAGUAAGUGGCAAAAUUCCAAUUGAGUAAGUGGCAAAAUUCUGCACAAUCUUGUAUUUGGCUUAUGUAUUGAGUAAGUGGCAAAAUUCCAGGCAAAUAAGAAGACAAAAGAUUGCAAUGUUGUUUUUGCUGAUUCCAGGCUUAUGGAUUAUGUUGUUUUUUGGAUUAUGUUGUUUUUAAGGCUUAUGGAUUAUGUUGUUUUUAAAAUAAGAAGGCAAAAUUCCAGGCUUAUUCAUUCCGGUUGGAAUGUUGUCCUGUUUGUUUUUUGUGUCUGUUGGCUCUCUUUUGGCUUGAUUCGGAGAAAUAGUAUUUGGAGAGAAGGGAGAGAGAAUCGCGUAUUUGGGAAAG